UGUAUUUAUUAGAUAAAAAACCAAUGCCCUUCGGGGCUUUUUGGUGAUUCAUGAUAACUUUACGGAUCGCAUAGCCUUGCGCUGGCGACGGUUCAUUCAAAUUUCUGCCCUAUCAACUUUCGAUGGUAAGGUAUUGGCUUACCAUGGUUUCAACGGGUAACGGGGAAUUAGGGUUCGAUUCCGGAGAGGGAGCCUGAGAAACGGCUACCACAUCCAAGGAAGGCAGCAGGCGCGCAAAUUACCCAAUCCCGACACGGGGAGGUAGUGACAAUAAAUACUGAUACAGGGCUCUUUUGGGUCUUGUAAUUGGAAUGAGUACAAUUUAAACCUCUUAACGAGGAACAAUUGGAGGGCAAGUCUGGUGCCAGCAGCCGCGGUAAUUCCAGCUCCAAUAGCGUAUAUUAAAGUUGUUGCAGUUAAAAAGCUUGUAGUUGAAACUUGGGCCUGGCUGGCGGGUCCGCCUCACCGCGUGCACUCGUCCGGCCGGGCCUUCCUUCUGAAGAACCUCAUGCCCUUCACUGGGCGUGCUGGGGAACCAGG
rnacentral:rRNA from 1 species